AGCAGUAGCCGCGGUAAUACGUAGGGCGCAAGCGUUAUCCGGAAUUAUUGGGCGUAAAGAGCUCGUAGGCGGUUUGUCGCGUCUGCCGUGAAAGUCCGGGGCCCAACCCCGGAUCUGCGGUGGGUACGGGCAGACUAGAGUGAUGUAGGGGAGACUGGAAUUCCUGGUGUAGCGGUGAAAUGCGCAGAUAUCAGGAGGAACACCGAUGGCGAAGGCAGGUCUCUGGGCAUUAACUGACGCUGAGGAGCGAAAGCAUGGGGAGCGAACAGGAUUAGAUACCCCUGUAGUCCCUGUCUCUUAUAC
rnacentral:rRNA from 1 species